GGCAGAUGCUUGAAGCCUUCUGAAAUUGUGUGGUGAUACUCUGUGUGUUGUGGCCAUCUCAACUGCAGUAUAUGCUGGGACAUCAUUUUCCUGCUCUUUGGAAGCAGGGGCAUCUAAGUGCAGCAGCACCACUAUUCUAAAUAUAUGGUCCGUUUGUCUGAGGAGAAAGAGACACUCCGAGAGAAUGAGAGAGUUGACAGGCACCGGCCAGCGCACCAGCGCCUCGUGUUCCCUAGAGCUGUUGGAUUUAUCCCCACUACUGCUCCCUGGCAUUGUGAACGCAUGUUAGGCUUCAGAUUUCCUACCCAACUGUAUCCUUCAGAUAUAGAUCCAAUGGCUGUGUUCAGAGGAAUGGUCUCCCACAAGAUUUGUGAUUCACCCUGUCUACCUAUAUGAUAUCCAGAAAACUAAUCUCCAGGAUGACAGCUCAUUCAGCACUCUGGAAAUUUACCCACGCUGAGCUCCUCUUUAAAUAAUGACCUGACAUUUGUUCUGUAGAGGGAGACAAAGCCCAGACUGAUGAAAACGGUUGGCAGCUGCUUUCAUUUGUGCCAUUCAGAAGCCAGAUGAUAAUUUGUCCUCAGGGACCCAUCACUUCUUGGCAGUCAGUCCUGUCCACUGCACUUUGCUAUUACUUUUGCUGUUACCUACUACCCCUGGUGCAUGCAGCGCACACAGAGUCAAUAUUCAAAGCAGACUAAGCUAAAAUUUACUGCCAAGAGUCAUGAAGGAUUUCAUGUUUCUGAGAAGUGGGAGAUAAGAUCACGUAUUAAUUUGGUGUUGAUAAAUAUAAAGCAGUAGAUAUUGGGAAAGACAUUUGUCAGAUCUACAUAAAAGGUUAAAUUAGCUAUUGCUCAGAAAAGAGAUCCCAGCCUCUCUGAACAGUUUAAUGAAGGCAUCAACUAAGCAAUAAAGGUCAAAGAGGCAAAACAUUUUUUACGUGUAGGCAAACAGAUCAAACCGGAAAACAUUGUUCCAGAUGAACUUUGAGUUCAUAUUUUGCAUGCAGUGUGGAGCGCUCAUUCCUUUAAAUUAGCUAAAGCAGAAUUACAAAAUGUACAGACAAGGGUGACCAGCAUCUUCUAUAUAAGCCAAGAUUAAAUAAAUGAGGACUUUCCAGGCUGGAGAAAAAGGUUACUAGGAGCUGACAAUAAUGAUGACACAUAAAAUCAUCAGUGGGAUCCAGGAGAACAGACUUGGAAACACCAUAUAAAUAGAUAAGGCCAUCCACACUCAGCUGUGGAAGAGCAAUAGCAAGGAGAAGACUCUAUGCAUUUAUAUUCAUACAUGUGGUCCCACUACAUCUUAGAUCCCUUUAGAUGCAGAGCCUGUGGUCCCCAUGAAGUGAGAAGAUAUAUAUAUAUGAGAUAUAUAUUUUUUUUUUCAUGCUGUGCCUCUUCUAUCUAUUCCUGACAGUUUUUAUUUUUAAGGAUCCCCAAAUUGUUGCUAGUAUGUUGGAUGCCAUCUAUUCUACCCAGCAACAGGGGAAGUCAUAGCUGCCCUCCAGAGACAUGCAUGCAGAGAGAUGGGGAGAGACAAGCUGAAGCAGGCUUCCCUUUAAAAGGAUUAAAAAAGGAAAAGCCCUGGUGUGCUGCAAAUGUUCCAGCCACUAUUUUCCAAGUACAUGAUCUGCUCUCUCAUCUAAGCUGAACACUUGAAUGUGUCCAACUCACUGCAAGGUCAGGCAGCAGUACAGGCAGCUGUGCCCUGCUCCUCCCUUUGGAACCAGUGCUCUAUUACAUAAUCCCUCCUGUUGCCCUGGAACCUGUCUGCAGCCACCUUGAGUCGGUGGUUAGUGAAGGAAAGGGAGUGGAGUUCAGCCUUGGAAGUUACUGUGCAACACAAAUGCCAGAGGUGCCACCAAGGAGAAGCUGUGCAUAAAGCAGUGCCAAGUUCUCCAAUGCAUCUGUUUCCCUGGCUAUAGCACAGGCUGCCAAAAUACAAUGCUGCUUUAUGGCUGAAUCAAAUUGCACUUCAGUCACACUACUGUCCCUGUCCUCUGCAACUGCUUUAGUCCAGAAUUCCUGCACAAGCCUUCCUCCUUUCACAUAAAUGUACAUUGAUAAUUUUUGCUGAAGAAAAUGCAGGCAAGGUGGAAUUCACUCUUCGGCCUGGAGUCAGGAGUCCUUCCUUUGGUGCCUCUACCCACACAGACAAAACCUCAGAGGCAGGCCAUGAGCUCUUUGUAGAAACUGCUGUGGUCUGCAGCUUUCUUCCCUCCAGCACUGAGGGCACUCAGGCAAGGCCCUGGGAAAGGCAUGCAGCCAGGGCUGCCCUGUGGCUCAGAACUGCACCCAGCCACUGCAAAGCUCUUCUUCAGCACUGCAGCUUUCCUGUCAUGGUGCAGGCAGGUGAGAACACCCGUGAGAGGCCACAAAUCUGGUUCUCACACAUGAAGGUGAAGAAAGGAAGAAGCUUGGUCUCGCUUUCAGCAAUACCAAUGACCAAAAAUAAGCUGGUACAGAACAGGAACUGGUGUACCACAAAGCCUGAAAGAGUUUCCCUUUCCCCCAAAGGAUAG